rnacentral:rRNA from 1 species
UACAGAGGGGGCAAGCGUUGUUCGGAAUUACUGGGCGUAAAGGGCGCGUAGGCGGCCUGUUAAGUCGAACGUGAAAUCCCCGGGCUCAACCCGGGAACUGCGUCCGAUACUGGCAGGCUUGAAUCCGGGAGAGGGAUGCGGAAUUCCAGGUGUAGCGGUGAAAUGCGUAGAUAUCUGGAGGAACACCGGUGGCGGAAGGCGGCAUCCUGGACCGGCAUUGACGCUGAGGCGCGAAAGCGUGGGGAGCAAACAGGAUUGAGAAACCCCGGU